rnacentral:rRNA from 1 species
AAGGAUUCCCCUAGUAACGGCGAGUGAAGCGGGAAGAGCUCAAAUUUAAAAUCUGGCAGUCUACGAUUGUCCGAAUUGUAAUCUCGAGAAGUGUUUUCCGCGUUGGCCUGUGCACAAGUCCCUUGGAACAGGGCGUCAUAGAGGGUGAGAAUCCCGUCCUUGGCACAGAUACCCAAUGCUUUGUGAUACACUCUCAAUGAGUCGAGUUGUUUGGGAAUGCAGCUCAAAAUGGGAGGUAAAUUCCUUCUAAAGCUAAAUACUGGCGAGAGACCGAUAGCGAACAAGUACCGUGAGGGAAAGAUGAAAAGCACUUUGGAAAGAGAGUCAAACAGUACGUGAAAUUGUUGAAAGGGAAACGAUUGAAGUCAGUCGUGCCUGCCUAGAUUCAGCCUUCUGGUGUAUUUCUAGGUCGGCAGGUCAGCAUCAGUUUGGGAGGGUUAACAAGGGGAUUAGGAAUGUGGCAACCUCGGUUGUGUUAUAGCCUAGUUUCGUAUUGAUCUUGCUGGACUGAGGAACGCAGUGCGCCCGCAAGGGUAGGUCUUCGGACACUUUCGCACUUAGGAUGCUGGCAUAAU